rnacentral:rRNA from 1 species
GCUUCCACUGAGAAGAUAGUGGCGAACGGGUGAGUAACACGUGGGUAACCUAGCCCACUAAGAGGGGGGAUAACAUCCGGAAACGGGUGCUAAUACCGCAUAGUUUUCUUGAUCGCAUGAUCGGGAAAGGAAAGACGGCCUUUGUGCUGUCGCUUAUGGAUGGACCCGCGGCGUAUUAGUUAGUUGGUGAGGUAACGGCUCACCAAGACGAUGAUACGUAGCCGACCUGAGAGGGUGAUCGGCCACAUUGGGACUGAGACACGGCCCAAACUCCUACGGGAGGCAGCAGUAGGGAAUCUUCCGCAAUGGACGAAAGUCUGACGGAGCAACGCCGCGUGAGUGAAGAAAGGUUUUCGGAUCGUAAAACUCUGUUGUCAGAGAAGAACAAGUUGGAGAGUAACUGCUCCAGCCUUGACGGUAUCUGACCAGAAAGCCACGGCUAACUACGUGCCAGCCGCUGC